GACGACGCUGGCGGCGUGCCUGACACAUGCAAGUCGGACGGUUCUUGUACCUUCAAGCUUGCUUGUUGGUGCAAGGAUAGUGGCGGACGGGUGAGUAACGCGUGAACAUCUACCCAUUGGAGGGGGACAACCCGUCGAAAGGCGGGCUAAUACCGCGUAAGCCGCGAGGUGAGAGGCUGCCUAUUGGUGGCCGCCGAUGGAUGGGUUCGCGUCCUAUCAGCUGGUUGGUGGGGUAACGGCCUACCAAGGCGAAGACGGGUAGCCGGUCUGAGAGGAUGGCCGGCCACACUGGAACUGAGACACGGUCCAGACUCCUACGGGAGGCAGCAGUGGGGAAUAUUGGGCAAUGGGGGAGACCCUGACCCAGCGACGCCGCGUGAGUGAGGAAGGUUUUCGGACUGUAAAGCUCUGUCGAGCGGGAAGAAGUGUACCAUGGCUAAUAUCCAUGAUAUUUGACGGUACCGCUAGAGGAAGCACCGGCUAACUCCGUG
rnacentral:rRNA from 1 species